CCACGCCGUAAACGAUGAUUACUGGGUGUAGGGAGUAUCGACUCUCUCUGUGCCGAAGCAAACGCGAUAAGUAAUCCACCUGGGGAGUACGGCCGCAAGGCUAAAACUCAAAGGAAUUGACGGGGGCCCGCACAAGCAGUGGAGUAUGUGGUUUAAUUCGAGGCAACGCGAAGAACCUUACCAGGGUUUGACAUCCUGCGCAAGACUUGGAGACAAGUUGUUCCUUCGGGACGCAGAGACAGGUGGUGCAUGGUUGU
rnacentral:rRNA from 1 species